CAACUUGAGAGUUUGAUCCUGGCUCAGAACGAACGCUGGCGGCAGGCUUAACACAUGCAAGUCGAACG
rnacentral:rRNA from 1 species